GGGGGAUAUAGGGGAAAUAUGGGGUGAUAUGGGGGAGAUAUGGGGGGAUAUGCAGUGUGCUUUGCAAUUGAUUUGCAAUGGUUUUGCAGUCAUUUUGCGAUAGAUUUGCAGUGUGUUUGCACGGUGCGUUGCAUGGUGCUGUGCAUGGUGCUGUGCAGCAGGUUUUGCAGUGUAUUUUGCAAUUGAUUUGCAAUGGUUUUGCAGUCAUUUUGCAAUAGAUUUGCAGUGUGCUUUGCAAUUGAUUUGCAAUGGUUUUGCAGUUAUUUUGCAAUUGAUUUGCAAUGGUUUUGCAGUGUAUUUUGCAAUAGAUUUGCUGUGUGUUUGCACGGUGCAUUGCAUGGUGCAUUGCAUGGUGCUGUGCAUGUUUUGCAGCACACUUUGCAAUUGAUUUGCAGCGUGCUUUGCAAUGGAUUUGCAAUGGUUUUGCAGUCAUUUUGCAAUAGAUUUGCAGUAUGUUUGCACAGUGCAUUGCAUGGUGCAUUGCAUGGUGCUGUGCAUGUUUUGCAGCGUGCUUUGCACGGUGCAUUGCAGGUUGCAGCGCAUCCUCACCCAUGACGCCGGGGUUCUUCAUGAGCAGCACGAAGCCGUAGCGCAGCGUGGAGCUGAUGGUUUCGGUGCCGGCAAAGAACAGAUUCAGCGCCGUCAGCUCCAGCAGCUCCAGCAGCUCCUGGUCGUUGUAGUCGAAGCGGCUCCCGAACACCAUGGCACAAAUGAUGUUGGACACGGCGCGGCUCAGCAUGUACGUGGGGUCAAAGGGCUGCCCUAUGGGGGGGGGGGGGCAACAUCAG
rnacentral:lncRNA from 1 species